rnacentral:lncRNA from 1 species
CUAACGUUGGGAGAUAAUUCUGUCGACGGAGAAAAAUGUUAUGGUAUGCUUUUGAUCCAUGCUUCUCGUUCAAAGGCUCACUGUUGCUUUCGUACUGCAGACAUUACCCAAGACACAAGUUGCAUUGGUCCUGCUCCCUCUGCUGAAGAAGGCCAAACUCCAAGCACCACAGCAGAAAACAACACCUCUCCUGGGAGAAUUGAGGGGAGCCCAUUUAUUGUAAAACAGGUCAGCAAAUCAUCAUACGGCCCGUGAUGUAGCAACCCUGCACAUGAGAACGAUGGCAAUGAAUGAUGGAGCCAAACAUUGAUGAAAAGAAAUCCACCAAAAAGAACAGUGCAUCAUUCCCUCCGUCCCAAAAUAAGUGACAUGGUUUUAGUUUGAACCAAAACCACGUCACUUAUUUUGAAGUGAAAUAGCAUAAAACUACCACUUUUCGCGUUAGGGUUCCGAAAAACUACCAAAAAUUUGUUUGUGACUGAUACCUACCAGAAUCCACGUCGGCUGUUUCAAAAAGCCCAAAUCGCCGAGUGCUUAUCAAUUGAACGCGAUUAUGACAGUUGGGGCC